GCCGUGAUUUGUCAUAAGUGCGAUGAUUAUGGCUUACAGCUCAUGAAACCCCCAAAUCCACAAUCAAUAAAACAAGGAGUGUACAUAGAACAAUAUUGGACCUCUGAAAAGUAUAAGCAUGCAUAUGGACUCAGCACUUGGUUUGGCCCCCUUUUGCAGCAAUUACUGCCUCAAUGCAGCGUGUCAUGGAAGCGAUCAGACUGUGUCACUGCUGAGGUGUUAUGGAAGACCAGGAUGCUUCAAUAGCAGCCUUCAGCCCUUCUGCAUUGUUCGGUCUCAUGUCUCAUCUUUCUCUUGGCAAUGACCCAUAGAUUCUCUAUGGGGUUCAGGUCAGGUGAGUUUGCUGGCCAAUCAAGCACAGUAAUCCCACAGUCACUGAACCAGGCUUUGGUGCUUUUGGCAGUGUGGGCAGGUACCAAGUCCCGUUGGAAAAUGAAGUCAUCACCCCCAUAAAGCUAGUCUGCGUAAGGAAGCAUGAAGUGCUCCAAAAUCUCCUGGUAGAUGGCUGCGUUGACCCUGGACUUUAUGAAGCACAGUGGACCAACACCAGCAGAUGACAUGGCUCCCCAAAUCAACACAAGACUGUGGAAACUUCACCCUGGACUUCAAGCAUCUUGAAGUGUGUGCCUCUCCAUUCUUCCUCCAGACUCUGGGUCCUUGGUUUCCAAAUGAGAUGCAAAAGUCGCUCUCAUCAGAAAAGAGGACUUUGGACCACUGAGAAACAGACCAGGUCUGUUUUUCUUUAGCCCAGGUAAGACGCUUCUGACGUUUGUUGUUCAGGAGCGGCUUGACAAGAGGAAUAAGACAUCUGAACCCCAUGUCCAGGAUCCGUCUGUGUGUGGUGAUGCACUGACUCCAGCCUCAGUGCACUCCUUGUGAAAGUCCGCAACACAUUUGAAUGGCCUUUUCCUGACAAUCCUCUCCAGGCUGCGGUCAUGCCUGCUGCUUGUGCACCUUUUUCUUCCACUUUUUCCUUCCACAUAACUUUCUAUUAAAGGAAAACUCCAGUGCCAGGAAAACAAUCCGUUUUCCUGGCACUGCAGGUACCCUCUCCUUCCCACCUCCCAUCCCAGGUAGCUGAAGGGGUGAAAAACCCUUCAGGUCACUUAUCUGAGACCCCGCCGAUGUCCCUCGGCGGUGGUUUCCGGUCGGCGUCGCUCCUCCCAGUAAUCACGUCAACAGGUGGGCGAGACUGAUCCCGCCUGCCGGCUGAGGAAAACUAAUGCGCAUGCGCGGCACGCAAUUGGGUAUAUUGGGCAUUAGGUCUCCCCAUAGGAAAGCAUUGAAAAAGAUUUUCAAUGCUUUCCUAUGGGAAAUUGAGCGACGCUGGAGGUCCUCACACAGCGUGAGGAUGUCCAGCGACGCUCUAGCAAAGAAAAUCUUUGCUAUGAAUCAGGAAGUGCGGAGUUAACCCUGCAAUGUAAUUAUUGCAGUUUAUAAAAAAAACUGCAAUAAUUACAGUUGCAGGGUUAAGAGUAGUGGGAGUUGGCACCCAGACCACUCCAAUGGGCAGAAGUGGUCUGGGUGCCUGGAGUGACAUCCACCUUCCUUCGCAAUUACUUUUUGAGGCUUUCCCUCCUUAUGGAGGGUGUCGAUGGUUUUCUACACAACUGUCAAGUCAGCAGUCUUCCCCUUGAUUGUGAUUCCUACUGAACCGGACUGAGAAACCAUUUAAAGCAGGGGUCCUCAAACUCCGGCCCCCCAGAUGUUGCUGAACUACAACUCCCAUGAUUCUCUUGCUAUCUAUGUAAUUCAAAGAAUCAUGGGAGAUGUAGUUCAGCAACAUCUGGGGGGCCGGAGUUUGAGGACCCCUGAUUUAAAGGCUCAGAAACCCUUUGCAGGUGUAAUGGCUUACUUCGCUGAUUAGAGUGGGACACUGUGAGCCUAGAAUAUUGCACCUUUUCACAAUAUUCUAAUUUACGGAGAUUGGUGAUUUGGGGUUUUCAUGAGCUGCAAGCCAUAAUCAUCGCACUUAUGACAAAUCACGGCUUG